CUCUAGCAAGAAAAUAUUUAAUUAUUUGUUACUUCUUGAGGUCCUAAGGUUUUAUGAACAACCCAAGGUGUCAUUAAGUCAAUUUAACUUGGUAGGUUUUCUUUAAAUAGUUCUGCCCAAAAGAUUUUUAAAAAUUCAUCUGCUUAUCUUAAUGCUGUUAUCUUCAUAUCUCAAAGACUUAAGUAGUACUUUAUGAAAUCUUUUGCCAGAUUAUAAUAGUGGUUUUGGUUUGCAUUUUUUUUAAAAAAAAAGGACAAGAAAGGACAGUUAUUUGACCCUUGUAGUUUUUCUCUGAUUAAUGUCAUCCACAAAGGACUCAUUCACACUUUCCUCUGUACUUCUGGAAAGUUACAUGUCUGGAAUGUGGAGAAAAAUAAGAAUUGAAUCUCAUGUUAGAGACCUCAUAACUCUUAGAAUAAGGAUCUACAACAACUCUGGCUAUCUUGAGACUUAACCAGAGAAAUGUGUUUUAACAAUACUAAUUAAGUGAGGGAUGCUCCCUCAAUAAAGUGACUACCAGAUUUCAACAUGAUUUUGCUUUUUGACUUUUGGCUAUAUUAAAAAAUACUCAAACGUAAACAAUAAAAUACCAGAGAUUUUCUCAAAUAUAUAAUUACUAAUUAUAUUUUUAGGAUUUCUACCCCCUUCUGUCAAAGUCAUGUUCAAAUUAUUUUGACUGUUUGCUUUUUAGACUGAACAGUUUCCUUGAGUCUGUUUUUUAGAAGAACAUUGUUUAAGUGGCUGUGUUACAAUAGAUUACCCGGAGUCUAAUCCCUAGUGUUACGUCCAGUAUUACAGCACACUGAAAUGACCUACAUUAUCUAGGGAGAAUUUUCACAUUAUUUAAUUAAAUCUACUAUUCCAGAGGCUGACAACGUGAGAAAUAGAGUGGUGUAAAACACAGAAACUCCUUUCAUAAAUAGCCCACAUAGACUUUGAAGCUCUGAUGAAAUGAAGUUGCGGACAUGAUGCCCCUCUACUCUGAAUACCUCCAUAUGUUUCAAUAAAUACAUCCAAUAUCUCAAAAACAAGUGCAUUCUCUUAUAUAGCCACAUGGUCAAAAUCCAGAAAUUAAUACUAUUAGAAAGUCAUUAUUUAAUGCCACUGAUUACGGAAGAAACCUGGUUGUUUAAAGCAUGGACUCUGAGCCAGACUGGUUGGAUUUGAAUCCUGGCUCAACUGUGAUUGGGGGAAGUCAGUCAAGGAGAAACAUAAUAACAAUACCUACCUUAUAGGGUUGUGCAGAUUAAAGUAAUUAACAAAUAUAAAGCCUUUUGGCCAGUGCUGGCGUGUAAGGAAUGCUUCGUAAGAACUGUUUGUUGGCACAAUUUACUGAUCAGGCCAUCCUUUCCACACUGAUAGGAAAUACCACCUUUAUCAUAUAAUGAGCCCUUGGGUCUAUCGCUAGGCUUUGAUUAGUUCCCUUACUCUGGCUUCCAUCAGUACCACAACACUUUAAUAGUUACAGCUUUAUAAAUAUACAUAGAUACAUACUUAUGUAUAUUUAUAAAUAUACAUAUUUAUAAAUACAAAUAUACAAAGAUACAGAUGAUAUCUGACAUCUUAUUGAUCUUUUAAAAAUUUUAUUGGCUAUUUAACUUUCUCUCUGAGAUAAACUUAAGAAUAACUUUGUUCCAAAAGAAGAAUAUGUGAUUCUGAUUAGAUUCUGAUUAGAAUUACAUUAUAAAUUAAUUUGGGGAAAAUUGACAUCUUAAGUCACAAUGCUAUCUUCUGACAGGAACAGGGUAUUUCUCUCCAUGUAGGCACACCCUCAUGUUCCUCAGUAAACUUUUGAAGUUUUCCUCAUGUAGGUCCCUGAAGUUUAAUCUUAGAUAUUUCAUAUUUUCAUUAUCAGUAUGUCUAGGAUAAUUUAGUCUUUUACAUAUUCUAACUGGUUAUUACUGGCAUUUAUUUAAGCUACUGAUUUUCAUAAAUGUAUUUUAAAAUCUCCUACCUUUCAGGACUCCAGUUCUAACAGGCAUGCAGGUAAUUCUUGAAUUUUUGAGGUAGAUGAUUAUUUCAUCUGGAAAUGUAUGACUUUUUGAUGUUGAGAAGAUUUUAGCUUUGCACAUAGUCAAAAUAUGUUGAUGUUUUUCUGUCUUCUUCUGAUUGCUUCCAAGCAUAGACAAUGUCCCCACACUCCCAUUCAGAGUACUCAUAAAUGUUUCAUUAUAAAUCUUCAAGUUUUUUGUAAUUUUAGUGUUUUAUGUAAAAUUCAUGGAACCAACUAGAAUUUAUUCUGAUACAUGAUAUGAAAUAAGUGUGAAACUCUACCCUCAAAUACUAACAAUACUGUUUAUUGACUAGUUCUCCACUUUCUUAUUGAUUUACAAUUCUUCCCUUAUAUAAUAAAUAAGCUUUGUCUCCGCCUCAUCAUGGAUCCAUUUUCCUAAAUGUAAGCAAAACAGAAUCUACACCAAGAGAUUUUUGUCAUGUUUCCAUAUGUGGUUAGGCUAGAUUCUCUCAAGAUUUUUUCUAGCAAUUCCUUUUACAGUCUCCUUUUUAUUCAUCCCAAUGGGCUUAAGAAUUGUUUUGUUAAGUUAACCAAAUUCUAUUACAACUUGAAGCUACAUUGCAUUAAAUAUGUAAACCAACAGGAAGAAUUAAUAUCUUUAUUAAUCUUACCAUCCAGGAAUGCUGUUUCUCCAUGUUUAUUUAAAUUUCUAUUAAUUUAUCAAUAACAUUUCAUAAUUUUCAUUCAAUAAGUAUCACACAUUUAUUUUAGGAUUACUCCUGUAAAUUUUUCUAUUUGUGUGUGGUGUGAUUUUUAAAACAUGAAUAUUAAAAAUUAAGGAUUUACAUUUA